GGGGGACCGCCCUCUAAGCCUUAAUUAAUUUUUUUUGAUCGAUAGUGAACAAAGUACCGUGAGGGAAAGGUAAAAAGCCUGGUAAGGUUUUUAACAACACAAAUUGAGAAUUGACAAACAGUAGAUCAAUUAAAUAGUUAAAAGAUCUGCGUACUUUUUGCAUAACGGAUCAGCGAGUUAGUUUCUAAAACAGGCUUAAACAAUAAUGUGAAAGCGAAAAGAAAUUGAAAAGGUUUUAGGAAAAAGACCCGAACCUAAGUGAUCUAAGUAUGAGCAGGUUGAAGCUUCAUGAAAGUGAAGUGAAGGACCGAACCCACUAGCGUUGCAAUGCUAGGGGAAGACUUGUGCUUAGGGGUGAAAGGCCAAACAAACUUAGAUCUAGCUGGUUCUCUCCGAAAUCUAUUGAGGUAGAGCACUUUUUAUAUAUAUCUUAUGGGGUAGAGCACUUCAUGGGUGUGG
rnacentral:rRNA from 1 species